GUACAUGACGGGGUGCCGGAAGUCCAACCUUUUAAAGUCACACAAAAAAAAACCGCACCAAGUAUCACUUCUCCUCUGACUACAUAACCUCCGACACCAACUCUAAAUGCUAUUGGCUGAGCCUCGCCACACUCAACUGGCAAUUUUUUUUCCCACACACACUGCUGCAGCAUGCCCACACUACGUGCAGUCACAUUUCUGGUGUGGGUGGGGUUAACUAAGCGGAACUAACGUUUACUGUAACAGGAUGGCAUGUCUGGUGGAGCAGGCUACUAUAGUGUACAGAGGAAGCGGCUUUGGUUGCCGUCAAGACAGCUAUGCACAUUCCAGUCGGUCCUCUCUUCCCCUCCGAGCUCAAACCAAGCCCCGUGCCUGAGUAGCACUCCAGCUAUUAGUGGUGAACGGUCACAAUGUGAAUAAUGCUGUGGAAGGCCUGCUGAUUAGUGUACAACCUGUGUACACAUGCAUUGCACACACACUUACACACACACUAACACACGUCACUGUAGGUGCAGAUUUGGGAACAGGACAGCGCGGGCCGAAGCCAGGGUACACGGAGCUGACUCAUAUGCACAGCUCAUGCACAUCAGGGGACAGCUGCUAGUAAGACAAGACGCACACAAGUGUGUUCCCCCGCCAACAGCACCCAGACACGCUCACAUAUACACCCGUAUCUACUUGCAGCAGGGAUGCAGUGACACGGGAGCCUUGAAGACAAAAAAGGGAAAUGAGGGUUUGCUGGGAAGCUGUAGGAAGCUCGCGGUCGCCUCAGCGUCUGGGGUCACUGAAGGAUCUGGGCCUGGGGAGCAGGACAACAGGAGGCUGGAUGUAUAGAAAAGAUUGGAGGGGCCAACGGGACACUUCAAGUUCAACACUAGUGUCCCACGACGCCAGCAGGCGUGUCACCUCAACCUGCUUGAUGGGUGCUCUGGUGUCUGUGGUGCACAGCAGGAUGUGAUUAAAGCACGCCACCGCAGUCAGGACACCGGGCUGCGGGUGCCCUUGUCCUGCUGCUCCUCAUUUGGACAGCUGCACAUAAAACAAAAGUAGCCACAUACGCUCCUCUAUGAUCGCUUAACUAUAAAACGCUCUCCGAAUCUAAUGACCAUGGCACCGGCUCAUUACAGAGAGCACAGAAGACACUCCAAGAAGUCCUUCUACAAUUUAUGUCAGACAGAUUUGCAGCCAGUUGUUAAAACAGUCUGGGCAGCAUCUUUGGCUCCGUCAACAACACAAACAAUGUGUGUUUUCACAUGUGACCUGUUCACUCUCGCAAAAAUACAUCGUUUUAAAUUCA